CAGCAGCCGCGGUAAUACCGGCGGCCCGAGUGGCGGCUACUAUUAUUGGGCCUAAAGCGUCCGUAGCCGGGCUGGUAAGUCCUCCGGGAAAUCUGGUCGCUUAACGAUCAGACUUUCGGAGGAUACUGCUGGCCUAGGGACCGGGAGAGGCCGAGGGUAUUCCCGGGGUAGGGGUGAAAUCCUGUAAUCCCGGGAGGACCACCUGUGGCGAAGGCGCUCGGCUGGAACGGGUCCGACGGUGAGGGACGAAGGCCAGGGGAGCGAACCGGAUUAGAUACCCGGGUAGUCCUGGCUGUAAACGAUGCGGACUAGGUGUCGGGCAAGCUAAGGGCUUGUCCGGUGCCGCAGGGAAGCCGUUAAGUCCGCCGCCUGGGGAGUACGGCCGCAAGGCUGAAACUUAAAGGAAUUGGCGGG
rnacentral:rRNA from 1 species